rnacentral:lncRNA from 1 species
CUUUCAAUGGCCUGACAAAGGCACCAGUGUCAAAUUCAGUGUUGCACACUAAGCAACAACUGCAAAGAGUUAUGUGGACAGCCCCACACGUUGUUUCAUGCAAUAAUGAACCCUGCUAAUGCCACCUGUGGGCACUGGCCUUUGGCUACCAAUGGGCCUGGCUUUCUCCUCCAAAAAAAGAAAGGUCACAGUAUCUUUGUGGCCAGGAGGCCAAGGCCUACUCACCUGGCUUGUAGCAGAAUUACAAAGCCCAGUGACUAAAACUGCCGUGCUGCCUCUCAAUACCCAGCAAUUGCAUGAAGGAAGCCUUUAAUGUGACCCUUGGGGGUCUGGCAUCAGCCUUCACAUCCAUGUGGGAACAGCUACAGAGAUCUAUACAGAGCUUUCAGAGUGCCAGCUUCUCAGCUCAGUGCUGUUUGCUUCCUUUCUCCCUCUCUUUGCCUACUGCUCUGUUUCUUUCCCAGGGUCUGUCUUUACAUGUGGCACCUCCCAGCCAAAGACCCUCCCCUGAUUUUUUUUUUCCCCAAUUCACAUGCUAAAGCAACCCUUGAUGAAAUUCCAAAGGCUGGCAGUGAAAUGUCAAGAUCUUGCUCCACUUGGCUUUCAGUCCCUUCAGAGCUUUGCCUUAAAGCACAGGAGCAUCUUAUCCUUGCUGGGAGCUGGAAUUCCAGAGCAUUGCAGUGUGUGCCAUGGACCACAGAGGGAAUUCCCGAGGCUCUCAGGUGCUGGUUCUGCCGUGCCUCUCGAGGGAGCUGUGCAGGUGCAGGUGCAGGGGACAAGGUCCUGAAGCUCUGUGGGCUCCCAGAGCAGGCAGCAAAGGCUUCUCUGCUGGGCAUUUUCAAGCACAUUCCCAGCUGAAAGCAGAGACCAGAAGAAAAGGGAAGUGAGGAGCUGACAAUCCCGGGAUGCUUGCGGCUGGAAGGGGCCCUGUGCAGGUGUUACGAGCCCAUGAGGGAGAGAUGCCUCUGCCUGAAUGAAGCUGCAAAGGAGGCCAUGUGAGGACAACGUAGGGAUUUUAAUUAACAUGGAUUUUAGGGAGGUAGGGAGGUAGAAAGAAAUAGCAAAAAGGUCUCAGAGAGAAAAAGAGAGAGAGAGAGAGAGAGAAAACAAUCAGCUGGAACUAAAUGAUCUUUAAGGUUUUCCCUUUCAUUCUGAGAUUCUAGAAGGUGUGGAUUUUGAUAUUAUUACUUACUACUACUAUAAUUUCAUCUCCUUCAUCUUUUUAUUCUUAUUUACUAUUACUAGUAUUUCUUUUUCUUCAUCUUAGUAAUUGUUCUUUUCAUUGUUUUUCUAACUCAUUAAUUAAUAC